AAAUUGAAGAGUUUGAUCAUGGCUCAGAUUGAACGCUGGCGGCAGGCCUAACACAUGCAAGUCGAGCGGUAGCACAGAGAGCUUGCUCUCGGGUGACGAGCGGCGGACGGGUGAGUAAUGUCUGGGAAACUGCCUGAUGGAGGGGGAUAACUACUGGAAACGGUGGCUAAUACCGCAUAAUGUCGCAAGACCAAAGUGGGGGACCUUCGGGCCUCAUGCCAUCAGAUGUGCCCAGAUGGGAUUAGCUAGUAGGUGGGGUAACGGCUCACCUAGGCGACGAUCCCUAGCUGGUCUGAGAGGAUGACCAGCCACACUGGAACUGAGACACGGUCCAGACUCCUACGGGAGGCAGCAGUGGGGAAUAUUGCACAAUGGGCGCAAGCCUGAUGCAGCCAUGCCGCGUGUGUGAAGAAGGCCUUCGGGUUGUAAAGCACUUUCAGCGGGGAGGAAGGCGUUAAGGUUAAUAACCUUG
rnacentral:rRNA from 1 species